UUAUCUAAUUCUCUUUCACAUUCUGUAGGUAAGAAGACUGAAUUCCAAAGGGUAAAAAGAGUUGGCUUGAAUCCAAAUAUUCUGGGGACAGAGGCAAGUGGAGGCACCAAGACUGAAAGGAGUUGGAGGUUACAUAGCAUCUACAUGGCUUGCUUCACAUCUUUAACAUUUUUAGAUAUAUUCAUUUUAUUUUCUGUGUAUGACUAUUUUGCCUGGUGCUCAAAGAGUCACAGAUGCUUAUGUACCACCAUGUGAAGACUGUGGAAUUGAACUCAAGCCCUCUACAAGAUCAGCAAUUACUCUUAACCACGAAACAAUCUUUUCAGCCACGUUUCCUAUCCUUUGAUGAGUUUAAGUUCUGGGAUGAUAUUCACUAGUUCAUGCAUUUGGUCUAUUCUUUGAGAGAUUUGCAUCAUGAGAUUGUGCAGGUUCCAUUCUAAUCUUUGUUUACUUGGACUCCACAAAUGGUUUUGCCCCAUUCUCUCUGGAUGUGCAGCUUUGCCAAAGCUGCUGAAGUGUUUUUAAGCAACAUCCUAGAGUCAAAGGAGCAAGGAGGAGGAUCAGUCAGUCCUUGCUCUCACUUCAUACUAUUCUCUGCUAGUUUUGAGGGAUGAAAAUAGAUCUCCUUACGGCUCAAAGAAUGGCUUUGGAUCAAUAUGCAUCUAGUCAAAAAUCCUGAGGGGGGAAAAAGAUAAGACACAGAUUGAUUCACUGUUUUCUUGUCUUGGCAAAAUGAAUCUGGACCAUUCUGACUAGUUUACCAGAAAAGAAGUGACCAUAGAAGGAUCUGAGAUCAGAGAAAUGUGUUUGGAGAUGAUUUCAACCUACAGGAAUCUACAACAGCUGGAGAAAAUGGCUUGAUGGCUAAUGGAUUUAGGAAUCUAGCCAAGCUCUAUGCAACAUUCAGAGGCCAAUGAAAUCUUAUUUUCUCAAUCAUGAACUAGAGUUGUGUAUUAUAUUUUUGUCUAUAUUAUACUGUUUAGCUUUAUCUCUGAUCAGUUAUGUUGACAAUUCAGGGAAAAUUUUCCUCAUAAAAUAAAAGUUGAUGUAAGGUGAUCUUUACACAUUCUCUCAGGAGGCUUAAAUAUUGAAGCCUGCCAAGCAUCUCAUUAACCGAUGGCACAAUGAUGACAGUCCUGGCAUAUGGCCCUUCCCACUAGUUUAGAACCAAAUAUCUGUUUCAAGUAAAGAUAUAUUUUAUCUGAGUUUAACCAACAAAGUUUUAAAUAAAAUGAGUGCACAGGUUAAUAAAAUGAUAGCAUUAUUUGAAGAAAUAAUAUUGAUGAGCUACUAGAGCUUAUGUGUAAGAUUCAUAUGACAGGAAUAUGACAACCUGUAGAAACAUAGCAUUUAAAAAUGAGCUUGUUAGACUAGGGAGAUGGCUCACUUAUUAAGAGCACUUGUUACUCUUCCAGAGCACCCACGUUCAAUGCACAGCAGCUACAUGGAGGCUCUCAACCAUCUAUAACUCCAAUCUCAGGGAACUCAAUACCCUUUUCUGGCCUCUGUAGGCACCAGGCACACAUAUGUUGCACAAACAUACAUGUAGCCAAACUAUUCUUACACAUAAAACAAAAAACUCUUAAAUAUGAAGCUCACUUUUAUUUAUACUCUUUUAUUUCAAUCACAUGCUUAUGGAUUUAUAAAAAGAACUGACUUGAGGUAUACACACUAAAACUUAUUUUGAUCUGUGUGCAUGAAAACUGUCAUUUUAAUCCAGCUUUAACUUGUAUUUGGAAUAGAAGUUUGAUUCAGAUUUCACUUUUAUUUCAGUUUAUCUUUUUAUAAAAGAUUUAUUUAUGUGUAUGAAUGUUUUGCUUGCACAUGUCUGUGCAUGGUGUGUGUGUGUGUGUGUGUGUGUGUGUGUGUGUGUGUGUGUGUGUGUGUCGUGUCCACAGACAACAGAAAAGAGCAUAAGAUUCCAGAAGGUGCAGUUACAGACAAUAAUGAGUCAUCAUGUGUGUAGGAAAUUGGACCUGGGUCCUCUAGAGGAGAACCAGUGCUCUUAGCCAUUGAGAUAUUUCUCCAGCCUCAAACUCAGCAUAUAUUGAUGAGAAGUCCCUUUGACUUGACAUUUUUGGGAACUGAAAUAAUGGUAAGCAUGUUAACGACAUAAUUGGAUUUAUAUGAAUGAUUUCAUAUGCUUUAUGCUUCAACACAGUUAGUAUUACUCAUAUGAAGUUAUAUUUUUCUGCUUAAUUUGCCCUGGAGAACUUUCCCUCAGCAAAGAUGUAGAUUCAUUACAGUGCAUUUUGAUUCAGUAUUCAAAGUUUCCUACAGCUUCUCCAUAAGACUACUAAAAUGUAUGGCAUGUGUCACAACAUUGAGAAAGAGGUGAUGAGGCGUGCUUAGCCACUGUCUCUCAUGUUGUUUUCCUCUGAUGGUUCCCAAACUCUGUAAUAUUUUCAUUAAAAUGUCUCUCUUAGUGUUUUCAA
rnacentral:lncRNA from 1 species